rnacentral:lncRNA from 1 species
AUGGCAGAGCCGGUGCGCUGGCUGUAUGGAGUGAGGACUAAUGGGGAAUCAAGGACGUCCAGCUGUGGAUGGCAGAAGGGCCACUGUCUGAAGUGGGAAGUCUGGACAUUCCCAAAGGAGUCUUUGAAAGACUGGGUCUUCUCCUGAGCCUGAGAGCAGUGCUUCUUCCAAUGGCACUGCUUCCAUUUUAAGCAUCAGCAUGGCCCGGGAGCUUGUUGGAAUGAAGAAUCUCCAGCUCCACCCGAAACCUGCUGAAUCAGAACCAGCAUUUAACACGUCACCAGGAUCCCAGGUCACUUGGCUGUCCUUGGCUCAACUGUGAGUAAGGAGGAGUCCUGCGGAAUGAAAAAUGACUACCCAGAUUUGCCACCAAAAUCCAGCAGGAGUGCCUUAGAAAGCAGAGACGAGAGGACACAGACACACAGAGACAGCAUGUGAAGACAGGCAAGAUUGUGUGAUGCUGCCACGAGCCCAGGGAUGCUGGGAACCAGAAGCUGGAAGAGACAAGGAAGGAUUCUCCCUCUCAGGGUUAUUGUGGUGACCACAGAAUGCAUUUGGAAGUGGCUUUGUAAACUGCAGAGUGAUAAGCCAAUUCAAUAUUUGGAGUUGUGUUUUAUCUUCCAAAGGCCUCAGUAAACAUUUGUAGAACUGACCAGUGUUGGAUUGGGCAUGGUGUCUCUUCACAGCCAUGGGCAGAGGGACCAUAAACGUAGGGGGCAGGGAUGGGCAGCGGUCAGAGGGAGCCAUGGAAGCUUCAGAGGGAGCACAACUCUGCAAUGCCCCGACUUGGGACUUCUGGCCUCCAGGACUGAGAGUAAAUAGUUGUCGUUUGAAGGUGCUGUGCAUGAUAAUUUGUCACGGCAACACUGGGAAACCACUGGCAACAUGGACCCCUUAUCUGGAUACAGUGGCAGAAAAGAAAGCUCUGCAAGAAGUUCCCGUAAAGCAUGUCCUUGCCCUUAGUGCCCAUUUCCUCCUCUGUCAAAUGAGGCAAAUACUUCCAGCCCUGAUGAGAUAAUGGCCUCAUCAGCAGGGCAACUCUGACGGUGUGGGUGAGGCUGUUCUAGGUUUCGCGCUGCCAGGCAGCGCCUCUCUCCUAGCCUCCGUUUUCUCAUCUGCCAAGUGGGGCAGUAAGCCCUGCCCUGGUGACUCCAUUGCCAAGGAGAGGGGAGGCGUGAGCGGACUUAUGGAUUGGGGUAGAGUUGGGUGCCAGGGGGCUGAGAACACAUGUGAGGGACCUGAAUCUUGCCAUAUUAACUAAGGGCGAUGGUUUCUGUAGUACCGUUUCUGCUAUCCAACAAGGCCUUGUAAACAAAUAUAACGUCUGGGCCCACCCAGGAGGAGCUGGUGAGUGCCUGAGGAGUAGAUGGCCAGUGGGGAUGGGUGAAGAACACAUAGAAUAGUGACAUCUGAUAUGGCGCCCCUUGAACACACAGGCAAAGGAAGAGAUGGGGCAUUUUGAGUCACAUGGAUUGGGGUAGGACUGUUUCCCCCCAAAAAGGCUUUUUGAGUUAUGUUGUAAAGAUGUCAGAGGGAGACUCACAUUUAAGACUGAAGCUCUCCUUCCUUCACACCCUUGCCAGGACUCCCUCUGACCACCCCAAUCCCUGCCCCCCUCCGUUUGUGGUCCCUCUGCCCAUUGCCAUGAGGAGAGUGUCCAAUCCAAUAUCAGUCAGUUCCACAAAUGUUUACUGAGCCCUUUGGAAAAUAAAACACAACUCCAAAUAUUAAAUUUACUUAGCACUCU